UGCGAGUCGAGCGGUAGAGAGAAGCUUGCUUCUCUUGAGAGCGGCGGACGGGUGAGUAAUGCCUAGGAAUCUGCCUGGUAGUGGGGGAUAACGUUCGGAAACGGACGCUGAUACCGCAUACGUCCUACGGGAGAAAGCAGGGGACCUUCGGGCCUUGCGCUAUCAGAUGAGCCUAGGUCGGAUUAGCUAGUUGGUGAGGUAAUGGCUCACCAAGGCGACGAUCCGUAACUGGUCUGAGAGGAUGAUCAGUCACACUGGAACUGAGACACGGUCCAGACUCCUACGGGAGGCAGCAGUGGGGAAUAUUGGACAAUGGGCGAAAGCCUGAUCCAGCCAUGCCGCGUGCGUGAAGAAGGUCUUCGGAUUGUAAAGCACUUUAAGUUGGGAGGAAGGGUUGUAGAUUAAUACUCUGCAAUUUUGACGUUACCGACAGAAUAAGCACCGGCUAACUCUGUGCCAGCAGCCGCGGUAAUACAGAGGGUGCAAGCGUUAAUCGGAAUUACUGGGCGUAAAGCGCGCGUAGGUGGUUUGUUAAGUUGGAUGUGAAAUCCCCGGGCUCAGCCUGGGAACUGCAUUCAAAACUGACUGACUAGAGUAUGGUAGAGGGUGGUGGAAUUUCCUGUGUAGCAGUGAAAUGCGUAGAUAUAGGAAGGAACACCAGUGGCGAAAGCGACCACCUGGACUCAUACUGACACUGAGGUGCGAACGCGUGGGGAGCAUACAGGAUUAGAUACCCUGGUAGUCCAUCCGUACACGAUGUCUACUAGCCGUUUGGAUCCUUGAGAUCUUAGUGGCGCAGCUAACGCAUUAUGUCGACCGCCUGGCGAGUACGGCCGCAAGGUUACAACUCAUAUGAAUUGACGGCGGCCCGCACAAGCGGUGGAGCAUGUGGUUUAUUUCAAUGCACGCCAAGACCUUCCAGGGCUUGACUG
rnacentral:rRNA from 1 species